CCCAAGGGCUGGCCCUCUCUAUCUCCUGCAGCAAUUAACGUUUUCUGUAAUUAAGGAUAUAAUUGUCUUGCUUUUUACAAUAUUCUCCGCUGACUGAUCAUGCAUUUUUCUGUGAGGAGCUUGUUUCAUUUAGUUUCCAGAUUUGUCAGAACUUGUGGGUGCUUCACAUCAGUGAAGGUUUUUAAGAGGAGACUGAGCAGUCGCUCGUCUGAAAGGGUAUAAGGGACUCCUGCUUUGAGGAGGGGGGGUUGGACUAGAAGACCUCCAAGGUCCCUUCCAGCUCUAUCCCGAUUCUGAUUUGGACCUAAGGCGCUCGAUUCCAGCUCCCCGCAAUCUCCAUGUCUCCGUCGCAUCCCCACAGCGCUUUCCCCCCCCCCCCNCAUCCCCACAGCGUUCCCCCCCCCCCCAAUUAUGACGUCAGCGCCUCCUGGCAACAGAAGAAAAUGGUUCCCUCAGCAACGUAAACAAGAACGGAGAACAAUGGAAGAGGCGGAAUGCCGGGAACGCUGGAACCUGCCUCUUGUCCGAAAGCGCUGCGGCUCUUGGGUGAAAUUGACCAAACGGACUCGCCAAACCUCCGGGCUCGCCGAGCAGAAGCCAUGAAAAGAGCAACGUGAGGCCGGAAAAUAACUUAAGUCACUUGAUAGUGCUUUCCUUCUAUAAAGAGCCAUUUUUCUUUUCUUUUUUUAAUGUUCAAUUGGAAGAGAAAUUCAGGUUGAGCGGGAUAUGCUUUCUUGAACUUCCAGCGUUGAUGAAAAGGCUACGCCUCAGUCGUCGAAAAGCAGGAAAAAUCUACGAGGGGAAAAAAAACAACAACAUCUCAAUAGUGAAAUUAAGCGUCUAUGUCUCUGGAGCGAACUUACCCAGCAAAGAUAUUUACCGUCUGCGGAUCUUUUUUCUCAACUUCCCUGUCUCGUCUACAUCCCUUGAUUUUCCUGGUGGUUUCUUCUCCAGGUGUCAGACAAGCCGAACCCUGCUUAACUUCUAAGCUGAGGUAAGGUUGGUCAAGGGAUACUAUCUCUACAGGAAAAAGGUAAAGAUUUCUCUGUCUGGUUCUGUCUGACUUUAGGAUAUGGUGCUCAUUGUCCGGAGACAUUUUCCAUGGUCAUGUUGUCAACGUGGCUAUACACCAACGGUGCAUAGAACACUGUUACCUUCCCACUGAAGUGGUACCUAUUUAUCUACUCGCGUUUGCAUGCUUUCAAAUGUUAGGUGGGCAGAAGCUGGGGCAGGAAGGGGAACUCUUCCCAUUGCAUGGUAGAGGUCUCAAACCUGGGCUGUCAGUUUUUCAGCUGACAAACUCAGUGUCUUUUAAGCACUGAGCCAUCAUAGCCGCUCAUCUAAUUAUGUACUUUACAGUACAUCAAGUUAAUUUGUUAGAAGAUACUGAAAUUAGUAUGCGGUCAUUUUCCUGAAAAUAACUGCUUCAACGUGAACCACUGAUGUAGCACUGAGAAAGCAUCUCAUAGAAUUGGUAGCCAUUAACGUGAUAGUGAUCCUUCCCUCUAUUACAGGUCAUGGCUGAAUGAGUGUUAACAAUUGGGAAACAAUUUCCAGCUGCAGAUUUCCAGACCCCUUUAAAGCAAGCAAGUCAUUUAAAAUUAUGGUGAUGAUGAUGAUUUCUACAAAUCUUUUGUUCGGAUUAGCACCAUUUUAUUUGAUCCCAUGCCUUUUUUAUGUGCAUGCUUCCCUUUCUUUUACUGACCUCGCUUAAAAAUGGAGAAAGAACAGACCAUUCUUUCUGUGAGAAAAAUUAUUUGGAUGGUAAUAGUGAUACAAAGAUUGGGAGUAAUUCAGGUUUUUCUGUGGUGGAAAAAACUGAACCUGCACAAAAUUCCUUUCUUCUUCGUGUCAUGAAAUUGUAGAAUGUUAAUGUUGGAAGGGGAAUUACAAAUCAUUCAACCUAUCUCCUUUCUCAAGAACAAAAUGGAUGUCCAGUGAAUCAAAGCCCACUAUCAUUUGCAACUGCUUGCCCCAGUCUUAAUUUUAGUUAUUAGGAGGGUUCUUCAAAAUCUUUUUCAUUACCAUUUUAAUUUCUGGCCCCAAAUGUUAGCAGAUGUAAAUUAGUUUCUAUGUUGUUAAGGUUUAGCUGAUUAAUGAAUAAAAUCACAUUUAACAAAGGAUUCCUUAUACACAUCUCUUCAUAGGCCAAGAUUCAGUGUUGUAUCUCGAGACAUCUGUUCACCAGGUAGAAAAUUGUCAGUCUUCUUGUU
rnacentral:lncRNA from 1 species